rnacentral:rRNA from 1 species
AUCCUUAGUCAUAUUUCCAAGAAAAGCUCCGAUUACUUUAUAAUUUAAAUAACCUGUACCCUAAACCGACACAGGUAGGUAGGUAGAGAAUACUAAGGGGCGCGAGAUAACUCUCUCUAAGGAACUCGGCAAAAUAACUCCGUAACUUCGGGAGAAGGAGUGGCUAGAGAUAGCCCGCAGUGACCAGGCCCAGGCGACUGUUUAUCAAAAACACAGGUUUCCGCAAAAUCGUAAGAUAAAGUAUGGGAGCUGACGCCUGCCCAGUGUCGGAAGGUAAAAGAAGUUGGUUAUUCUUCGGAAGAAGCUGACGACUGAAGCCCCGAUGAACGGCGGCUGUAACUCUGACAGUCCUAAGGUAGCGAAAUUCAUUGCCAAGUAAGUUUUGGCCCGCACGAAAGGCGUAACGAUCUGGGUACUGUCUCGGAGAGAGACUCGGUGAAAUAGAAAUGUCUGUGAAGAUGCGGACUACCUAUACCAGGACAGAAAGACCCUGUGAAGCUUGACUGUAGCUUGGAAUUGGAUUCGGGCUCUUUUUGUGCAGUCUAGGUGGGAGGCGAUGAUAUACUGUUUUCGGACAGUGUGGAGCCAUCAGUGAGAGACCACUCUGAAAGAGCUAGGAUCCUAAUACGAAUCCUUGAAUCAGGAUCGUUAACAGUUUCAGGCGGACAGUUUGUUUGGGGCGAAUACCUCCCAAAAAGUAACGGAGGUGUGCAAAGGCUUCCUCAGGCUGGACGGAAAUCAGCUGUAGAGUGUAAAAGUAUAAGGGAGCUUGACUGCAAGACCAACAAGUCGAGCAGGAGUGAAAGCUGGCUUUAGUGAUCCGACGGUACCGAGUGGAAGGGCCGUCGCUCAACGAAUAAAAGUUACUCCAGGAUAACAGGCUAAUCACUUCCAAGAGUUCGUAUCGACGAAGUGGUUUGGCACCUCGAUGUCGGCUCAUCGCAACCUGGGGCUGUAGUCGGUCCCAAGGGUUGGACUGUUCGUCCAUUAAAGCGGUACGUGAGCUGGGUUCAGAACGUCGUGAGACAGUUCGGUCCAUAUCCGGUAUAGGCGUAAGAGCAUUGAGAGGAGCUCGACAUUGUACGAGAGGACCCGAAGGGUCGCACCGAUGGUGUACCAGUUCUUGUACCAACAGGAAACGCUGGGUAGCUAUGUACGAAGUGGAUAAUCGCUGAAAGCAUUUAAGUGAGAAGCCCACCUCAAGAUGAAUGCUCUCUAUUAGAUCGCAGCAAGAUAAGCUGAUUAAUUGGCGUUAGGUGUAAGGUCAGUAAUGGCUUCAGCCGAGACGUACAAAGGAUCGA